rnacentral:misc_RNA from 1 species
GAAAUGCGAUAAGUAAUGUGAAUUGCAGAAUUCAGUGAAUCAUCGAAUCUUUGAACGCACAUUGCGCCCGCCAGUAUUCUGGCGGGCAUGCCUGUCCGAGCGUCAUUUCAACCAUCAAGCCCCCGGGCUUGUGUUGGGGACCUGCGGCUGCCCGCAGGCCCUGAAAACCAGUGGCGGGCUCGCUGUCACACCGAGCGUAGUAGCAAUCACCUCGCUCAGGGCGUGCUGCGGGUUCCGGCCGUUAAACAGCCUUACAAAACCCAAGGUUGACCUCGGAUCAGGUAGGAAGACCAGCUGAACUUAAGC